rnacentral:rRNA from 1 species
CACGUAGGGUGCGAGCGUUGUCCGGAAUUAUUGGGCGUAAAGAGCUCGUAGGCGGUGUGUCGCGUCGGCCGUGAAAACCUGCAGCUUAACUGUGGGCUUGCGGUCGAUACGGGCAUCACUGGAGUUCGGCAGGGGAGACUGGAAUUCCUGGUGUAGCGGUGAAAUGCGCAGAUAUCAGGAGGAACACCGGUGGCGAAGGCGGGGUCUCUGGGCCGAUAUUGACGCUGGAGGAGCGGAAAAGCGUGGGGGAGCAAAACGGGG